GGCACCGAUGCUGCCCUGUUGAAACCAGGUGGAGGGGAAGGAGACAGGCACUGUUCCUGCUUCACUGGGGUUCAGCUAUGUUAGUGUUGGUGUGGUGUUGGAUUUUUCACCUUUUACCCUAACACAUCUCAAAAGUUUAAUUUCUGUCCUGUAGGUCAAUGUGGCUGCCAGAACAUUUCUUCCUUUCCCAGAAGUGCCCUCCAUGUUGUAUCCUGUGGGCUGUCCUUUAUCACCAUCCAUGGGCUUUGGGCCACCCCCACCUUCUCCAAGCUGGUGACCUCUGGGACCUCACCCUCCACCUCCACCAUCUGGGAAGAUGAUCUGAACAGUAGGAGUUAACUUAGAAAACACGUUUUGUCUUUCUUCUUGUUGAGUCUUGGGAGAAGAUGCAGUGAUGGUACAACAUGGCCUUCAGUCUAUGCAAGUCAGAAUCACCUCCAUCCACCUCCAGCCUUUAUGAGACCCAGGACGUGGUACAGCUCCCAUGGGGAACAUCAGUUCUGUCUCUACCAAGGAUGCAGAGAAAGACAAGGUAAAUUCUGUUGCCCGUUUCAGUUGUAAUGGUUUCUGGAAACUUAUCUGGCCUUGUCUGAUAUUCUAUGUCCUCUGGUGUCUUUACUGUUUUAUUUACAUCCUCACAAGCCUCCAGGCUUCUCCAGUUUAAGAUCAUCAUGGUAGCUGGUACCUCUGGAAGCCACAAGUGCGUUGAGGCUGAGGACCACGUGGCUCUCACUUUGUGUUUGUGGAAAUAACUUGAGGAGGAUGACACUUCACUGUACCCUCAAGUCUUCUGGAGUGGCUGACUCCUUCCGCACCUUCUUUACAUGGGGUUAUUGUUAUUAUUUUUAUUUUUUCCUAUUUCAUUGUAGGCGAUGAACUUGUUCAGAAUGUCUGCGAUAAGCCUCGUGACUGGAAAAGAUGAAAACUCUUUCCAGCUUUAUAUUGUGUGCUUUGUGCAGUGCUGAAUGUUCUUAGAUAAAUUUCAGAAUUCAUUACUGAUCCUUCUGUGUUGGUAAAUGUGCGAUAGAGAAUUUCUCAGUUGUCCCCUAGGUGGAACUACUCUGAAUUAUGAGAAGCGGCACGUGUACUCGAAAAUGUACAUGGAACUGCAGUCGUGAAGGUAGAGAAUCAGUGAUUACCUGCAGGGCCAGUAUCUCACAGAGUCCUUCAGUUGUGUUUAUAUGAGCAGGUUCUCUUGUGUCCCUGGAGCAGUUAUAACUGGUACUUUGUCUCACGAUACCUUUUGGGAGUUUGACACCUGAAAUCGAGACAUGUUUCUGUUCAUUCUUUUAUGUAGAAUUUCUACCUCCCUUUUACAAUGAGACAGAAUAGCUCUGCAACUCAUAUUGUACUUAAAAGCUGAAUUACCUGUGGAUUAAGGUAAACAUACCUGAGACCAACGAAUGUGUACAGGUAAUGUGUUUCUCUCCAAAAACACACUUCCAGGCCCCCUGCAGGACUCCAGGAAUCCCCGUCUCCUCAGAAGUCUCUGUGGCCUUGCAGAGAAGAUGCCUUUGUCAGGGAGGGAAGCAGAAUUCAGGCUUGUUUCCGGGAAGAAAUCCUGAUGGAAAUUCAGAAAAACGGGAGCUGCAUUCCAUUAGGACAUGAAUGCAUGAAAUGCUCAUCUCAGGACCUUCUAGAAGAAUGAGCUGGGACCCAUUUUCCGAGUCCUGCUGGAACCAGAGACCGAGGACUUCCAGUACUAUGUGGAAUAACUGGUGAGAGGGGUCAUCCCCGUCUUGUUCCUGACCUUGGAGGAAAAGCUUUCAAUUUUUCCCCAUUGAGGAUGAGAUGAGCUGUGUGUUUUUCGUAGAUGACCUUUAUUAUGUGCAGUGGGGUCUCCUCCUCUCUGGAAGUGCUAUCCAUGGGCACAGAGACACAUGGGGAGAUGGGGAUCCUGAGAUCCUGCAGAGGACCUGGAUAAGCAUGCUCUUAGAGAAACAGCUGUACCUGUGACACAGGACGCAAGAGAAUGUGCUCGUGAACACAAGUGAAGGACAUGGUGGGGACUUGCCACACAGGAUCCAAGAGAGCAGCAUCAGUACCUGAGAGCUCCAUCCCUGCCACUGGAAACCACCUACAGCUUGGGGUAGUAGAUGCAAGAGGUUAACCUACUGCCACCACUCAUCACUGCCCAUGUCUGCGGAAGUAAAAUGGCAAGGGUCCUGUCCUAGAGGGUUAACAGAAGUAAUUACAGACUAAUGAAGUAGCAUUCUCCGGACAGGCAGCCAUCGAUGUCCAGGUUCACCCUGCAUCCCUCCUCUACGGCGACUCCAGAUGCUCUGUUUUUGGUAUGUUAAGAACACAAAAAAAUGAGUGGGAAUAAAUGGCUCAUAUUCUGCUCAUGGAAUCACAGCCACUCCUGGCAAAAUAUUCUGCAGCCGGACCCUCACUGUGCCUCCUCUGCUUCUCUCCCUGAGAAAGGAGUCUUCCUUCCUGAAGUGUUGUCAAAGGCCUCUGAGACCUCUGGGGAGUGGAGGAUGCCUGGAAUCUUGCAGGGGAAUGAGAGUCUUCUGUGACAAAUAAGUUACUUAUGAAUGUCUACAAAGCUCAGAUGUGUUCAUCUUAAUUCAUAGGGAAUUCUGAUUUUAAGCAUACUACAGGACACAGAGUAAUUAUGCCCAACAGAAAAAAGAGGUAGAAAUUCACAUAACAGAUUUAAAGCAAGUGUUUUGGUAUAAAACUCCUGGUAUGUGUCAUGAGACUGUAUCAGCUCUAACAGUGACUGGGGACACAACCAGAAACUGCUCAUAUAAACAUAAUUGAAGGACACAGUGUUCAAACUAUUUUUACCUAAGGUAUAGCUGGAAGGAUUCCAGACAACUCAUUUACCAACAAAUAUGGGAAGGUGAUACGUGAUGACACUGACUUUAUCUAAGACCACUCUAAAUGGUACAGGGCACAAAAUAUAAAGUUGGAGUCAUGAUGUCGUUUUGCACUUUUGAAUUUUAAACAAUAUGGCAGACUUUCUAACAGGUUCAUGUCCUAGCCAGAAUCAAGAAAGGAAGACACAGCAGCCACACUGUUCCCACAGAGGUGAGGUCUGGAAGGGGUCACCCAGCCCAGGAGACUUCUGUUUGGAGUGUGGGGUCAUCCUCCUCUUAUUAUUUCCUGAACCACACGGAAAAACCUUAAGGCAGCCUCUUUGCUUCCAUCCUGUCCAGUCUUGGAUACAGAAAAAUAAUGGACUUCUAUAAGAGUUGCAACACCACGUCAUCUUCUAGACAACAAACAAUGCACGCAUCAUCCCUGGAAACACCCAUAAAAACGCAAGUCAAAUGACCACACCUGUAUUUCAAAAUGCAAUCCAGGCAAAGAAGGGAUUCUCACCUUCAAUUUAAGAGCUUCAUCAGAGAGAAACUUACUUUCUCUCUUAGUUUCCUGAAGACAUUUCCUUAAUUCAUUGUUGUAUAAAACACGAAAAAGGAAUCAGAAUUAAAAAAAAAAAAAAAAGCACAGUGCUAGAUAAACCUACCUUCUAAUGUGUGACUCCUUUCACAAAUAAAGAGGUAGCUCUUUACAUUUGUGAAGCUUGUCUUGAAUUGGUACUGCUUAUAGAACACAUAGAAUAGGUCAGUAGGAUGAUCUACCAGAGUGGAAGUAACCAAAAUGAAAUCACAAAAAAUAUUUGAAAGGGCCAUGCUACCUUCUGUUCCCAAAUGGAUAUUUCUUCAGGAAGUAAAGUUCUCUGUUUUCUUUCUUAAAAGUAUUGAUCUUCUCAGUUAUUCUCUGUAAACUAACUAAAAGGAGAGAAAACAUUUUCUAAGUUUGUUACCAAACCAGUGACAUCGAAUAAUCCCAGUGUAUUAGCAGCACAGACACAUGAUCUGACAGGUGGGUGUAACUAACAUUUUAGCUUUCCCGUUGUGCCUGAAGGAAUCAAGUUUUAGCAGCAUUUUAAACCUAAGAAAACCUUAUUUCAAUGAGACUGCUGUUUAAAAUAUUGUCCAAAAUGGAGCAACACAAUAAAAUAUCUUCUAAUUUCUCUCCCAUCUGGAAACACCCUUCCUGGAAAAUUCAAUCACUUCAAAUACUUAUGUCACCACCAGAGAUGAAACAGAAAAAUCAAAUCCUAUCAACUUAAAUUUCUCUCCUCCAGUUAUUAAGGUACAUACAUAGGUCGCUGCAAAUAAAGGAACAAACAAAAACAAAACCAUCAUUUAGUCUCGAUUUGAGCUACUUACACCCCCAGGUGCUAUUUGGAAUAUUAAGGAAAGCUCAAACUGCUGACUGAUUGACUACUCAAAGGCCUUGGAUGUCUUCCUGCUGCUCACAGAUUGCCUUUCGUGAACCCGAGGCUGAGGGCCCUGGAGGACAAGGUCUUUGGAAUCAAACAUAUGGUUACAAUCUCAGCUUUACACUUAGUGGCUGGAGGAUCUGGAUUAAUGGCAAUUCCUAGAAGACAAACUUUUUUCAUUCCAACAUGCGAACAUUACCCUCCAACCUUACAGGAAUAUUAUUCAACACACACGAAGCACCCAAUUACAGGUGGAUAACACAUGUAAGCUCUAGAACAGACUCCUCUAACAGGGAUUAAUUCUCUCUGACCAUAUAGUGCAAACUUCUCUUCUGUUGGCCUAGUGUGAGAGCUCUCAUGCCCUGAGAUCACUUUUCUCACCACCACCACUGCUGCAUUCAAAGGGAUAAACACCAGCCUUGGAGGGUUUGCUAAGUGUCAGGCAGCCACCCUGGCUCUCAACCAUAGAACCACCACAGUCUACCCCCAUUUGCAACAAAUUCAUUUCCACUCAUGCUCUCCUGGCACAAAUGGCUCCCUCCACUUCAGACUCAAAACCAUGGUUUAAACCUCUCUUGUGACACACACCCUGCCUGGCAAUAUCUGGCUUCUUCUCUAAGCUUAGGCUUCUUGAUAGACUCAAAAAGGAUUUUCUUAUUGUGACAUUUCAGCAAGAGCCAGGUCAUGGCAAAGUACUCACUCCAAACCUCAGGCUCAUAUCAUAACUUGUUUCAUUCCCUCUACUCUGGUGAUGUGUUCCUCCUCCUGAUGUCUUAUCUUGAGAUGUUAACUCCCUCCACAUUGACACUUAGGCUCUGAACAGGGAAGAGAAAGAUGAAUUUCAAGAGUUAACAAAUCAAUUAGACAACAGACGUCACCAUAUUUAUUCUUAGUUGAAGUAAAAAGCACAUCGAGGGGUGCCUGGGUGGCUCAG